rnacentral:lncRNA from 10 species
UGGAAAAACGGCUCCUGUGCAGGCUGCCUCCCAGCUCUGUCCUCCCACACUUCGUCCUCCCACAGCCAAGGGAGUUGACCCGUGUUCUCACUGGGCCGCUGGAACCCAACAGCAUGGACAUCCCGGUUGGUGGGCACCCAGCUCUCCCCUCCGGAGGUACUGUCACACCCUCUCCCGCCUCACCGGGGGCACAGGGCCCUGCCAGACCCAGGUGAUGUCAGGAAAUGCUGUCCUCAGUCUGGAGGACCACCGAGCCACUUUCCUCCUCGGAGCCCUUCCCUCCAGCCCAGGUGGUCACACAGCUUUCACCCCGUGUCAGGUUUGCUCUUUUCUGCUUCCUGCCUUCAUUUCCUGAAUGACAUCCUUUUGAGCAUGUAUGAUGACAAGCAGGGCUGGACCCUGGGUCUGCAGCAGUGAACCGGCCCAGUCACCUGCCCUCAGGGGUCUUGCAGGAGGGCCUCCGCAUCCUCUCCCGCACUGCAGACCAGCAAGCCCCUCCCCUGCUGUGGCCUUUCCAGUAACGGCUGCUGGGAGAGAAAGUGCCAGUCGGAGAGUGAGUGUGCAGCCAGGUGGGGCCAUUUCCCCUGCGUCCACAUAGUGGCCCACCCAGCAGGACUGUCCCGUUCCUGUUUCCCCUGGUGCAUGCUCUAGGGAUGCCCCAGACGGGCCCUGCCCUCUGACCCCUGCCUGUCCGGGCUCAGCGUCCUCUGCUCCCUUUGUCCUCUGAUGCUCCAGCCCUUUCUGCCGCCCAGCCUGUGUGUGGAUCAGGGCUGUUUUGGGGGUGGGCUUAGAGGGCACGGGAUGGAAGUUGUUUGGAGGGGAGGGGCCAUAUGCAAUUUGUUUAUCAUGUGCAUUUUUUCAUUUGCCAUUCUCACUGUGAUUGAUUUGAAUGAAUUUGGCACUGUGAAAUCUGCAGAGUCAAAAAUCAAAAAGAAAAAUCAAAAGAACAUCGGCAUUGGAGGCACAUGCAAUAAAGGAGUCCAGGUGGUAGUUGGAGGUUGGAGGCUGGAAGGAACACACAGGUCUCAAAGGAAGUGGCUGAGGGAUCUGCAGAGACUCAUCUGAGCCUGUGGCUGAUGACAGGGUGUUGGGGCAGCCACGGCCGAGAGGGCCGUGCUCGGAGCCACACAGCUUUCAGUGCUCACGAGAAGGGACUGGCCCUCCCCAGGGCUGACCAAGUUCCUCAGUACUGCAUCCAGCUGUGCUCCUGGCCUCAUUUCUUCUCUCCUUCAUGAAUUAACUCCCAGACACAGCAGCCCCUGGAGGUGGUGGGGACUAACCAGGGACGGGAAAGGGUCAGUCAGCCUGUGGUCAGCAGGGUGGGCGGGUGCAGGCCUGGUGUUCCCAGGAUACUUUGCUGGGUCAUGCAGUUAUCCCCAUCACGUAUCACUCCAGCUCCCUGGCGGGCACAGCCUGUGGCUGUUCCUGGAGGCACCCCUGGAAUGAGUACAGUUCAUGGACAGGCUUCAAAACAGCCCAGAGCAAAGAUUUGGGUCUGAGGGCGGGGGCAUGGCUCUGCGGUCUUCGCCUCCACGGUUCCCUGACUUGGUCCUGCAGUUGCCCAGGAGAGGCAAGGCCACCUCCUUGUUAAGGGCUUGCUUGUUCCUGGUGGUCUCUGUCAGGAGCCCCCACCCCGCUGGCCCCAGACUCCAACACCUGUCCAGGUGUGUGAGCCAGUGUACAUCUGGCAGCAGAGAGGCCUGUACGAGCACAGCCCACAGGCCCCAGUGACGUUUGUCAAGUGUUUAUUCUAUCAACAUUCUUCAUUUCUGGCCUGAUUUCAAUCCUAGGAGGUGGGUACAAUAAGUCCAAUUCUAAAAAUAAUAAAAUGGAACAGAGACCUGAGGAGUUGGCUUCAUGAUGGGGGAUCAAUGUCCCAAUUUUAGCACCAAAGUCCUGCGACCUGGGAAGCCCUCGGUGCUGGGCAAACCAGGAUGGUUGUUGCCCUGAUUCAGGAUCACCCAGGUAAUAGGUAGAGGGCUGAAUUCAAGCCCGGCUCAGCCGCAUGGAGCCUCGGCCUGCACUCUGCACUGCUUCUGAGCGGUGCUGGGAGCAGCGCUGUCCAAGGAGCCCGGGUCAUAAAACCCAGCUGGUGAAUAGGAACCAUGUUUGUAUGUUCUAGAAGAUGAAAGAAUAGAAUUGAAUUGAAUAAUAAAGAUCAGAGUACAUUAUGCACAAUUAGGACACAUAUAUUUUAAUGAAGAAAGUAAUUUAAAUAAAAAUGUGUUUUAUUUAUGCUUAUAUAUUUUUGCUUGUGUAUAUAUGUGUGUAUAUAAUGUUUUAGAUAUACAAAUAUAUGUGUUAUAAGUAUGUUUGGUAUUUUAUUUCAUAUUUUAUAUUUAUGUUUUAUGUUGUAAAUAUGUUUAUCGGUUAUAAAUCUAUGUGAAUA